CGGAAUCACUGGGCUUAAAGGGCGCGUAGGCGGGCUCAUAAGUCAGGGGGGAAAUCCCACGGCUCAACCGUGGAAGUGCCUUUGAUACUGUGAGUCUCGAGGGAGGUAGGGGCGUGCGGAACUUCCGGUGGAGCGGUGAAAUGCGUAGAUAUCGGAAGGAACACCGGUGGCGAAAGCGGCGCGCUGGACCUCUUCUGACGCUGAGGCGCGAAAGCCAGGGGAGCAAACGGG
rnacentral:rRNA from 1 species